ensembl:lncRNA
GCUAAAUACAGCCAUGAAGAAGGACUUCAAAUUAGAGGUUUCCAAACUGAAGCCAUCCUUUUUGCUAAAAACUUCUCAGAAUUAUAGGUAACAACCUCUAUUAGUCCCUGUGACUGCUAUAACAAAUUAUCACAAACUUGGUGGCAUAAAACAACAGAAAUGUAUUCCCUCACGGUUCUGGAGUCUGAAAUCAGGGUAUCUGAAAUCAGGCUGUCAGCAGAGUUGCAUUCCCUCUGGAGACUCUAGAAGAGAGUCUUCCCUUGCCUGUUCCAGCUUCUGGUGGCUGUUGGCAUUCCUUGACCACCUUGGCUUGUGGUCACAUCACUCCAACUUCUGCCUGUAUCAUCACAUUGCCUUCUCCUCUCCUGGAUGUGUCUCUUCUAAGGACACUUGUUAUUGGAUUUAGGGCCCGCCUGGAUAAUCCAACAUGAUCUCCUCAUCUCAAGAUCCUUUCUGAAUUACAUCUACAAAGACCCUUUUUCCAACUAUGGUAACAUUCACAGGCUCUGGGGAUUAGGAUGUGGACAUGUCUUUGGGGAGUCGCUAUUCAGCCCACUACACAACCUACACAGGAAUCCAGACAAAGACAAUUUCCCAGAAUCUUCUACUUCAGAAGGGUAAAGAGCAGUGCUGGGGAUUUAUGUAUUUAAUAAGCACGCCAAGUGAGUCUAUGAUCAGGAAACUAUGGCUGGCACUACCUUAAAGUAUCCUCAGGCCUCAGAUCUCGCAUCAACAGAAAAUGAGAUGCCGAAACUGUGCAGAAUUCAGAAGGGAAUCCAUCCCACAAACCCUUAAGAUGUGGCCAUGGAAGACAACAGACAAGGACGAUUAGCACAGAGAACAGCCCAGAGGCAGCGAGAAGCACUGACCAAAGGACACUGUCUGCUGCUGAAGCAAAGAGCACUUGCUGCUCUUGUCUCACAGAGAGAUGCUGAGAUGGAGUUUGGGGUGCAAGGCACUUAUUACGGAUAAGAGGAGACAGAAGCCAGACUGGGCUGAGGAAGAAGUCGAACUGUGAUGCAGGCCCAGUGAAGCUUCAACCAGCCUGCCAGGGAGUUUUUGAGUUUGAAGUUCAGUUGCAGCUCUGCUGGCUUCAACUGGGAUCAACUGGACUGGGAUCCAGGCCAUGAGUAGGAUUCAAGUCUGUUCCACAGUUCUCCUCAUUCUGGGACCAGUGGCUACUGUGACAUGCUCUUCUCAUGACAGAGGACAGGAUUACAAAAGACCAAUCCAAACCACACCCACAUUUAAAACCUCUGCUCAUGUCACAUCCACUAACAUUCCAUUGGCCAAUAUAAGUCUCACAGCCGAGUCCAAAGUCAAUGAGGCAGGAAUGAAUAAUGAAUAUCAGGGAGGGAGUGAAGAAUUGGGAACAAUAAUCACAUCUACUGCAGGGACUAGGCAUUACCUAAAAAGACCAUCCAGAUUGUUAUAUUAGACUGAGGUUGCUGGACAGGACAGAAACUUCACUUUUUCCUGCUACCCAAUAGAUAGGGAUUUGUCUUGGGUCAAGUUCCCUAGAGGCAGAGUAUGAGAUGGGGAUGAUUGUGUACAUAGUUUACGGAGAAAGUGCUUUCAGGGGAAACAUGUCAGGAGGUGAGACAAGGAUAGGAAAGAGGAGGGAAGAAAUCAGGAACGAAAAAUGUUUAUCAGAGAGGGAGUGAAGAAUGUGGUCUCAGCUGGAGUCUAGUCUCAGUCUGAUCCCGCAGGGGAGCUGUGGAGUGGGGAUUGUAUCACAGAGAUAUUCCUCUUGAGGCAAGAGCUAGGCUUUUUUACCCCUAUGUCAGUAAAUCAUUGGUUGUCUCUCUCUCUCCUUAGGAGGGGUAUAACUUCCCAGGCAUUUCUUCGUGAGGUGGAGUGGUAGGCCCGAGGCAAUCCUCUGAAGAAGGGAGCAGCUGUAAUCUGAGAUCAACAAAAUCUCACAGCAGCUGGGGGUCAGGUGCAAGGACGAGGUUAAGGGAAUCUGGGAGGGGCACCAACAGCAUCUAAUAAAUGGUUCAUGAAAGAUCAUCACAAAAUAAAAUAACCGUAUUUUCUUUACAUACCCAUAGCAAAUACUGCUGUUUCUUUCCUAAUAUCCAUUCUCCCCUGCUUCCUUUACAAAAAUGCAAAACCGAGAUAAUUUAGCUCAUCUAGAAUAAAAAUUACAUUUCUCAGACUCCCUUCUAACUAGGCAUGCCCAUAUAACUACGUUCUGGACACCAGAUGAAGGGAGACGGUUAUGUGGAAGCUUACAGGAAGCUGCCUUAAGAGACAGCUGGUGUCACCCUCUGCUCCUUCUUCUUUGUCCUUUUCUCCAUUCUGCCAGCUUGAAUACAUCUGUGAUGAAUGGAUCAGGAACAGAAAUCUAGCACUGUGAGGUGGCCUAGGGAAUGAAGGCCAGCAGAACCCCAAGUUAGAAAGGACCCUGGUUUGUGAGAUCACUGUGACCCACAGCCACCACACUUUCAACAUAGGGAGGUAUAAUCUUCUACCCAGGUCAAACUACUGUUAAUUAACUUUCACAGGGUGAAACUUAUUCACAGGUUAGUGUAAUCCUAAUCAAUCCAACAUCCAAGCCAGAUUGAAAAUGAAUUUGAGAACCUGCUGCCUACAUUCCACCAAAGCACCCUCCAGCAAGAUGGUGCCCAUUUAUACUCCAUUCAGCAGACAUUGGAGUGUUCAUUUCUCCAAACUGGUUAUUAUUGUUUUUGUGAUGGGUUAAUCUAAAAAGCAAAAAGCAAUCUUGUUGUUUCAAUUUUCCUUUUCCACAUUUCUGACCAGGUUGAACACAUUUUCAUCUUUUUUGGGGGCCAUUUGUAUUUCUUUCUUUGUGAAUUGCCUGUUUGUAUCAUUUGUCCAUUUUCUGUGGGGAUGUUUAUAUUUUUAUAGUGACUUAGAGGUGCUUAUUUAUUUGAAAUAUAUAUAUACACUGAUAAAAAUAAAGGCUAAUGUAAUAAAUACCUGGUACCAAUCACCCAAAUGAACAAAUGUUGAUAUUUUGUCAUAUUUGAAUCAAACCUUCUUUUAAAGAAAUAAAACAUUGUAGAUGAAAAUGUAUUCAUCAAGUUCACCAUCCCCGGUCUCAGAAACAACUAUCAUGUUUUUAAGCUUUUGCUGCAAUGUCCAUAGUACCAUUUCAGAUGUGUUUAUUUUAAUUUACAUUAAUGGUGUUGUGAUGGUUAAUUUGAUGUGUCAACUUCACUGGGUCACAGGGUGCCCAGAUAUUUGGUUAAAUAUUUCUAGGUGUGUCUAAAUAUUUCUAGGUGGAUGAGAUCAGCAUUCGAAUCGGUAGACUAAGUAAAGCAAAUUUCCCCCCCAAAUGUGGUUGGGCAUCAUCUAAUCUGUGGGCCUGAAUAGAACAAAAAGGUGGAGGAAGAGAGAAUUCACUCUCUGCCUGACUGCCAUGAGCUAGGACAUAAGUCUUCUCCUGCUCUUGAACUGGAAUUUUUAUACCAUCAGCACUCCUGGUUCUCAGGCCUUCUGACUCAGCCUGGAACUAUACAACUCUCUUUCCUGGUCUCCAGUUUGCAGAUAGCAAAUUGUUGGACCUCUCUGCCUACAUAAUUGUGUGAGCAACUUAAUUCCUUAUAAUUCAUAUAUUUAUAUAACUGGUAUGGUUUCUCUGGAGAAGCCUGAUUAAUACAGGUGUCAUACUGCAAAUUUUUUUUUAGCUCCUUGAACUCUGUGUUUAUGAGAUUUAUCCAUAUUCAUUUAAUUGUUGUAUAAUAUAAUAUUGAAUGAAUAUUUCAAAUUUGAUUCAUAUUUCACAUUUGAUCCCCUAUUGAUAGAUGUUAAAUCCCUUCUCCCAAAUUUUACUAUUACAAACAAUGUGACAUAAAUAUCUUUGGACUUACUUCACGUGUUCCCAUACGAAAGAAUUUCUUUAGAAGUGACAUUGCUGGAUUAUAGGGACAUAGAAGCAUCUUCUACUUUGCUAGAUUUUACUAAAUUGCUGUCCAAAGUGGUUACAUCAAUUUCUAUUCCCAUCAGAAGUGUGUGAGAAUUCCCGUUUUUCCAUAUUCUGGCAACCCUAAAUAAUGUCAAGCUUUUAAAGAUUUGUUUCCAAAUUAAUAGGUAUGAUGGUAUCUCAUUAUUUUAAUUUUAUUUUCUCUAAUAAUGAUGUCAAGCAUAUUUACGUAUGUUUAUUGAGUUUAUUCAUCUUUGAGUUGCCAAUUCUAAUUCUUUGUGCGUUUUUAUAUUGGGUCAUUUGUCAUUUUUAUUGCUUUUUAGGAUUCUUUGAUACAUUCUAGCAGUAAUAGUCAUUGCAAAUAUCUUCUCCCAGUGUGUGGCUUGCCUUUGUAAAAAACAGUUUUAUUGAGAAAUAAUUUACAUACCAUAAAAUUCACCCACUUAAAGCGUACAACUCUUUGGGUUUUAGUUCCAAUCAGAGUUGUGAAACCAUCACGACAAUCUAAUUAUAGAGCACGUUCAUCAUCCACAGAAGAAAUCCUCAGCUUAUUAGCAGUCACUCUGGAUCCCCGUCUCCUCCAAGGCCCUGGCAACUACUAUCUACUUUCUGUCCAUAUAGAGUUGCUUAUUUUGAACUUUUCAUAAAAAUGGAAUCACACAAUAUGUAGUCUUCUGCCACUGGCUCCUUUCACUUGGCACAAUGCUUUCAAGUUCCAUCCAGGUUACUGCAGGGAUGGUUAACUUGGUUAUACUAUGUGUUGCUGUACGUAUGUUUUGAAUUUUCAUUUAGUCAAAUAGGUCAAUCUUUUUUUUUUAGGUUUCUGAUUUUUCUGUCUUAUUUAAAAAAUCUUUCCCUGAGUUAUAUAUUUUCUAAUAAUUUCAAGUUUUUGUUUUUCAUAUUUAAAUUCUCUGCAGCUUAUUUUGUAUAUCACAUCACAUAGAGAUUUAAUUCUUUUCCAUGUGGGUAGUCAAUCAUUCAGCACUACUUAUUGAAUAGUGCCCCAAUUCCCCCACUGUUUUGUAAUGGCUUGUUUAUUAUACAACAAAGUCUCAUAUAUGUUUAGAUCUGUUUACCUCUCCCUGUGCCAUUAUGAUAGCUUUACAGUAAAUCUUAAUGACUAAUACCUUUAUAAUAAAUCCUGCUAUUUGGUAGGGUGAGUUCCCUCUCUUUCUUUUCUACAGACAACUUUGCUGUUAAUGACCCU